rnacentral:tRNA from 2 species
GCAAAUAUAGUUUAACAAAAACAUUAGAUUGUGAAUCUAAAUAUAGAAGUUUAAACCUUCUUAUAUGCC